GGGCCUGUAGCUCAGGGGUUAGAGCGUGCGGCUCAUAACCGCUUGGUCAUGGGUUCGAAUCCCAUCGGGCCCACCA
rnacentral:tRNA from 1 species